GCUUUAAAUUUUCUAUUUUAAAACCAAAUUUACUUUUUUACCUUUGUUUAUAUUUGUAUUUAUCUUUUGCUCUUGCCUGUUGGUUUAUACCAAAAGGUAUAAACAUGCAAAAGCAAGAGAUAAAAAUAUAAAUACAAAUGCUAGGAAGAGAAAGUAAAUAAGCUCUAAAUUUAAUAAAUAAAAAUAAAAUUUUCAACUCGCAAUCCUCAGGAUUUAUAGGAGAAAAUUAAAUAAAUAAGACCUAAUUUUAUUAAGAACAGUAAAAAAUAGAAUAAAUUAAAG
rnacentral:rRNA from 1 species